GACAGGAAGAAGCACAUUGAUGACUGGAGCGAAGUCUGGUACUGGCUGCUUGCUGGCAUGGAAAGUUGCCCAGGAAAAGUCUUCAUCUCCAUUGAAGUUUUCUUCUCCCUGGUUUUGCUGUAGAGAGACACCAAACAUCUUGCAUGAUACUUUGCCUCUUGGGCCUCUAAAUCCCCUCCACUUAGUUUUGCAACCAAGUGCUGGUUUUGCAGAUGAAGUGCACUCUUGUGGACUCGACUAUCAAUGCUGAGGGUAGAAGCUUCAUGGAAGUCUUCUAAUGAUCUGAUCGGUUAAAUAUAUAGGUGCAAAAUUCAACCUUUGGAGGACCCCGCAUGCCCCAGAAGCCCCAUGGUAGCCUUCCACAAGGGUCACAGGAGUAGCCAUCCUCCCCA